rnacentral:rRNA from 1 species
GCUUAGAGAGGGGUCAAUGUCCUAUCAGCUAGUUGGUAAGGUAAUGGCUUACCAAGGCUAAGACGGGUAGCCGGCCUGAGAGGGUGGUCGGCCACACUGGGACUGAGACACUGCCCAGACUCCUACGGGAGGCUGCAGUCGAGAAUCUUUCGCAAUGCCCGAAAGGGUGACGAAGCGACGCCGCGUGUGGGAAGAAGGCCUUCGGGUUGUAAACCACUGUCGGGAGUUAAGAAAUGUAAGGGUGUUAAUAGCAUCCUUACUUGACUAAGGCUCCGGAGGAAGCCACGGCUAACUCUGUGCCAGCAGCCGCGGUAAUACAGAGGCGGCAAGCGUUGUUCGGAAUUAUUGGGCGUAAAGAGCACGUAGGCGGCUUUGUAAGUCAGUUGUGAAAGCCUUCCGCUUAACGGAAGAACAGCAUCUGAUACUGCAAGGCUAGAGUGCGGA